UAGGGAAUACUGCACAAUGGGCGAAAGCCUGAUGCAGCAACGCCGCGUGUGCGAUGAAGGCCUUCGGGUCGUAAAGCACUUUUCUGGGAGAUGAGAAAGGACAGUAUCUCAGGAAUAAGUCUCGGCUAACUACGUGCCAGCAGCCGCGGUAAAACGUAGGAGGCAAGCGUUAUCCGGAUUCACUGGGUGUAAAGCGCGUGCAGGCGGUUCGGUAAGUUGGGCGUGAAAUCUCCUGGCUCAACUAGGAGAGGUCGUUCAAUACUACCGGACUUGAGAGUGGUAGAGGAAGAUGGAAUUCCCGGUGUAGUGGUGAGAUGCGUAGAUAUCGGGAGGAACACCAGUGGCGAAGGCGAUCUUCUGGACCAUUUCUGACGCUCAGACGCGACAGCUAGGGUAGCAAACG
rnacentral:rRNA from 1 species